UGGGGAAUAUUGCACAAUGGAGGGAACUCUGAUGCAGCGACGCCGCGUGAGUGAUGAAGGAAUUCGUUUCGUAAAACUCUGUUCUAUGGGAAGAAAAGGACUGUACCAUAGGAGAAAACUCCGGCUAAAUACGUGCCAGCAGCCGCGGUAAUACGUAUGGAGCGAGCGUUGUCCGGAAUUAUUGGGCGUAAAGGGUGCGCAGGCGGCUUUACAAGUUGGAUGUGAAAUAUUGUGGCUCAACCACAAACGUGCAUCCAAAACUGCAAAGCUUGAGUUAAGGAGAGGUAAGUGGAAUUCCUGGUGUAGCGGUGGAAUGCGUAGAUAUCAGGAGGAAUACCGGUGGCGAAGGCGACUUACUGGACUUAAACUGACGCUCAGGCACGAAAGCGUGGGGAGCAAACAGG
rnacentral:rRNA from 1 species